GCCGCACAUCCAUGCUUAUAAAUUUGAAGUACAAUAUCUCAUAAUCAUCUACCCAACUGAUUCACCAACUUUUUCUUUGCUACGUCUACCAAAAAAACAUCUCCUGCUGAGAUGAUCCUCCUCCGCACACCCUAAAAAAUAUACCCAGAAAAACAAUUAUAUAGAAAUCAACCAUUCAGAUUAUUCCUAAGUCUUCCCUCUCCUUGCUCACUCAAAUCUAACAUACACUAUUAUGUGUAUGGUCCUCCUUAUCUCUCCUUCACGCCCACCCUGCAGCAGCCAGCGAAGGUUCGAUUCCCAUCCCCGC
rnacentral:lncRNA from 1 species